UUUUACCGAUACCAACGCUUCAACGUUUCCCCCUUUGAUUUUGGACAAUUACGCAAUGUUAACGUGUUGUCGCACAAGAAAAUGCGUCUACCGGUCGUCAUUAUUUCGCGACGGACGUUUAUUGCAUCACCACUGAAGGGCGACAAACCUCUCCGUUAGUUCAUCUUAUUUCACGGGCUCUGGUCUGCGUUUUAUGAGCUGACAUGAGAAACUUUACACGGUCCAUGCAUCCGUUUUACUAACCGCUAUAUCCUCACAAGAGUCGGGGGGAGUGCUGGGGCCUGUGUGAGCCAUCUGAGAGGCGGAAGACGUUAUUACACUCCGCCAGUUAGUCCUAUCGACACCUGUCAGUGAGUGGGACCUGAACCCACGCUGCCUGCACCUAAGUCAGUUAAGUGUAGCGCUAUACCAUGAUUAACUCCACGGUCUUGCAGUUUUUCAGGAAAACAAUAUCCUUAAUUUCAUAUAAUUGUGUGGGGCGGAAAACGAGCAAAAACAAAAACGUCAAUUCCGCAUUGUAAUCUUUCAUUGAAUCCCUGAUUCCUUUGAAUCCAGGAUGAAAUUCAGAGUAAAUGGUAAUUUCUCAUUUCACACAUAUCGUCAAAGAGCGUUUUGAUCACAAUAUGACAUUAUGACUCUAAAGAUCUAGGUACUGUAUCUGAAAAAUGUGUUUUCUAGGUCAGUGAUUCCCAAACAGUGUGCCGGGGGAAGUUAUCCAAUUUUAUGUAAUUGCUAAAAUGAAUAAUAAAAUUUAUUUACAAGAAAUAAUGUAUCUUUAUUCAUCUAUUUAUGUCCGUGAGGCAUAAUGACAGACAGAACAAAAAAAAAAAAAUCAUCUACUCGAUGGCAGAAAGUACAUACAGUAAUUAAUCGAUCCAUUUUUGGUGACAUUUACUUUUUUUGGUGUGCCGUGGGAUUUUUCAAUUGUAAAAUAUGUGCCUUGGCUCUAUAGAGGUUGGAAAUCACUGGUCUAGGUUGUCCUCUCUUCUGUCGUCGCACCACUGAAGCUCGGUAGCGGGAAUAAAAUUGACACGAAGCUUAGUUUGCUGCUAGGAAAGGUUUUUUUCUUUCUUUAAUUGACUCCUUUUUACGGACAACAUCAACGUCCUCCUCUCUUGAACACGACCGUCACUCUUUUUUUUCGUCUUCCUCCUCACACCUGCUCAGUCCGGUCCCCCACAGGCAAUAUGUACACGCCCAGCCACUUGGGCCUGCAGUCACGAUAGCCGUAACAAUAAAUAUAUUUAUGUCGAUUUUGAAUGUAGACAGAUUAAAAAAUGCGUUAAUUUUCCGGGAUUGAGGUCUUUAAAGUGUUUUAUUGGUUUAAAUGUUACGCACUUUUGUCUGUUAUUAAAUGACACAUAUCAAAUACCGUGGCCUAUUAAGAUAUUCAUUCUGAUUCACUAAUCAUUUUAAGUUUCGUGUAUUACCUCGGUGUUAUGUGUUACACUGCGUUUGAAAUAUAAAUACAUUAUUGAGGUACACUUAAAAUGUUGGCACUGAGGAAAAGAUUAAUAAUGAUUUGCUUUUCAGGGUGCCGAGUUUUCUCAUCUUGUCUAUAUCAGCUCUGAUGCCCCCCCCACCUCCACCCCCUCCACACACACAAACAGAGGGGAGUGUGCGUGUGAGGAGUGGAAGAGCUAGAGAGAGUGUGAGACAGAAAGAGGGAGAGACAGGGAGAGGAAUUUUUGAAGAAAGGCCACUUAUCCUCACAAGGGUCGCUGGAGUGCUGGAGCCUAUCCCAGCCGUCGACGGACAGGAGGCAAGGUUGCAGGUUCUGCAGGGCGAACAAAGAGCUGUUCUGUAGGCAUAGCGGGUCCGGCGUCACCGGCUGGUCGAUGGACUUCUGGAAGGCCUCCUGCUGCAGCUGCAUGAGGAUCCGGUUGGCUUGCUGCCUCUCCGCC